AUGAUAACUAUUAAAUAUAAUUAUUUUUCUUAUCGUGAAUACAAGUGGGCCUUAUUUCGGGUGCUCAUUUGUAUUAAUAAAACAAAACAGCCACACCCACACACGCGUGCAUGCUUUCUUGCGAGCGGUUUCCGCCCAGUAUUCGGUGGAUCCAUAUUUAAUUUUGUGUCCGGGCUGGUGAGUCCACGCCUCUCUCUCUUUUCCCAGCUCCCUCUUACUCACUCUCUCUCUCUCUCUCUCGCUCCCUACUGUCAUCUCCAAGCAUGACAUUGAUUCGGCCUGGUGGAAAUAGGGGCUGCAUAUUUCCCUCCCUUUUUUGGAUGAGGAUUAUGAAGCGGGAUGAUUGGAGUUGGUGUGUGUAUGUGUGUGUUGGGGGGACUGGUGGUGGGGACGGCGGGCGGUGGUGUUUGGUGGGAAAACUUUAAGCCCAAAUAAAAUCUUGUCAAAGCAAAUAAAAGUAUUUUCUUUUAAGGGGCGCAUAAUGAGGACCUUUCAGGGGACGGCCAAUACCCGGGCGCCCAGGGGCCUGGGAGUCAGACGGUGGUUUAAUUGAACUCAUGCUGGGACUAGAGGUGAGGAGACAGGCCGAGAGACAGAGGGAGACAGAGGGAGAGACACUGGCAGUGACAGGCCUUGAGAGAGAGACGGGGAGAGCAAGAGUGACACACACACAAUGAGAGCCAGGCAGCCCCGGAGAAAGCAAACUGAUAAAAUCCCGGCAGAGCGAGAUCCAAUCUGUCUAUUUUUCUCAUAUCCGUUAUCUUUCCACAGAAUAGUGUAUAACCUUCCACCACUUCACUGAUCCGGCUUUCUCCACAUUUAUUGCGCCAUUUGAAUUCGCCGUUAAUCCCACCGUAUUUACGCUUUCCACAAGGCUUCCAUCAAGCAGUCUCUCAUUGUCCUCAAGGGGGACGCUUUCAUUAUUUUUAAUUCCUCUUUACGUCCAAUUAAACGAACGGCAUGCGCUGGAGCCGGAGGUGGAGAGCGCCCUAAACGGAGGGGACGGCGGCCCACGCAGAGACAAUGGGAGGCGAUAACGAUGAAGGGCCGGAUGAAGAACAAGAGCACAGCGCCGACGAAGGAUAGAGAGCACAGGAGGGACGCGCUGCUUCUGUCGCCGUUUGAUUAUAGAUGGGCGGAUAAGAGGAAACGCUUUGAAUCCAUCUGAGGCAACGAACGAACGACGGGCCGUGGGCCAAAGCCAUCCAGAGAAGAGGGGGUGUGUAAUUAGCGACACCACUGGGGUUUCCAAAAAGGCCAAAGCCAUCGCGCCCGUCCCUCCCAUUCUUAAUUUCUCUUUCUUUUUUCGGCCAAUGAAAAACCCCACUUAGGAGAAGAUGAGGAAAGGAAAGGCGAGAGUUGAUUUAUGAUUGAUAAAAAGGGGGGGAUGAUGAGAUGAGGAGGAAGCAGAAGAAGAUGAGGAAAAAUCGAUAUCAUUUAGCCGCUUAGCGUAGAAUACACUGUUGGUUUUAAAUGAUUCCACAUCAUUAAGUAGCUCGAUGAGCAUUAAUAUGCCAAACACCGGCGUUUGAGCAUGAGUAAUGUGGCCCGGGCCAAUGGUUCUCCAGGGGGAAGGAUCGAGGUAAAGUGAUCUCAGCAACUCGUUUGUCUUUCUCUCUGCCUUUCUUUCCCUCUCUGUCUUUCUCUCCCUCUGCCUUUCUUUCUCUCUUGGUUUCUUUCUCUCUUUCUGGCUGUAUCUGCCUCUGCUGCUGCCCUGCAAGCCCCACUUUCAGAAUACGCCCUCUUGUGGACACACCAGCCACUGCACCCUGGAGGCAGUGAACACAUCGGCUACCCCUAUCACUUUUGGGACACUGGUUUGAAAAAUAACAAAUAACUAAUUACCGGUACUACACUGGGCACUUUGUUUUCCUGUGCUACCACGCGCAAAUACAAAUUUGGAACGCUGUUAGCUUUUUCAAAAAAAAAAAAGAAUUUCUGAAAAUAUUAUCUCAUUACUGUUAAAGAAAAGCCUGCCUUUGUUCUGUUGUUAACCCGUCAAACUGGGAGUUCUGGGUAUGGUGCUAUUUGCUUUAUGCUAGGCUCAGUGUCCAUCAGAACCCAAUGUCGUUCUCCUCUUGAAACCCCAUUAAUAAUAGUUAAUGGGUACCCCAUUUAGACCCUUAAAGGGCUAAGACGUGUCAAAGAGUGUGCCCUAUUCACUCCCCUGCUAACUCAACCAAAGCUAAUUUCCUGAAGUGCUGGUUAUACGCUCAGGGUUUCAUUAAUUCCAAAAGAAAAGUGCACUUCUGCUCCAUUUAUUUUCCCCCACUCUGGUUCUCACCACGAGUCAGCCCAGCCCUCCCUCACGUUGUAAUCAGCGAGGUGGGAGCUUCUGAGAGUCUACACUGCUGCUCUGGAUAGGGAGGGGGUGGCCGGUGGUGUCUUUUUUAAAACCCAAAGGUCAUGUCUGGUUCCCGUGGUCAGCAGAGAGUCUCGAGGGGCCCCCACUUCAAAGCGCUGUGUCGUGUCUUAUCAGAGACGGACGUUCGCUGUGUGCGUCAGAGUCCACACCUCACUCAUGUCUGAUUCGGAUUGAACUCUCGUUUUUCACGUGCAGCCCAGGCCAUGGGGGCUUCAGGUUUCCCAACAUGUUAACCUUGCUGGUUACAAAAACAAAGAAACAAAAGCUGUAUCUCUUCUUCUAAUAAUUAUAAUAAUAAUAAUAAUAAUAAUAGAAAACAUAGCGAGAAUCCCACAUUAUAAUCCACAGUAUAAAUUACAUUGUAGACAGAACUUGGAAAUAUAUAUAGUACAGUUAUAGUUCACUAGAUUUCUUCAAAGUCUUUUUUGUCUUGGUGCCUACACAAUCGGCUAGUUUGCGUGGGUAUGGGUGUGUGUCCAUGUGGUUUCCUGUCGUUUCUCGGCAGGAAAGUGCCCAUGUGUGUGUGUGUGUUCGGUGGGUUGCGGACGUUUUUGCAUGUCUGCGUGUGUGUGUCUGGCAAUGCCUCAACG
rnacentral:lncRNA from 1 species